AACGAACGCUGGCGGCAUGCCUAACACAUGCAAGUCGAACGAGACCUUCGGGUCUAGUGGCGCACGGGUGCGUAACGCGUGGGAACCUGCCCUUAGGCUCGGAAUACCUCUCCGACAGGGGUGCUAAUACCGGAUAAUGUCCUCUGACCCAAGAUACAUCGCCUUUGGAUGGGCCCGCGUUGGAUUAGCUAGUUGGGAGCGUAAAAGCCUACCAAGGCGACGAUCCAUAGCUGGUCUGAGAGGAAGGUCAGCCACUCUGGGACUGGGACACGGCCCAGACUCCUACGGGAGGCAGCAGUGGGGAAUAUUGGACAAUGGGCGAAAGCCUGAUCCAGCAAUGCCGCGUGAGUGAUGAAGGCCUUAGGGUUGUAAAGCUCGUUUAUCCGGGAUGAUAAUGACGGUACCGGGAGAAUAAGCUCCGGCUAACUCCGUG
rnacentral:rRNA from 1 species